UGGGUGUGGAGCGCAGAACCUAGGGAGAAUGUGCUGAGUGAAAGGUGGAAAGGCCUGUGAGCAAGCUUUGAGGGACUUUAGCAGUUCAUGGUCUAGAAGGGGAGCUUGAUCCUGCAAAGGAGACAGAGAAGGUUUGCAGCCAGAGAGGUAGGAGGGAAACCAGGAGAGUGGGUGACCUGGAAGUCAGGGGAGAAGAGAGGUUCUCCAGGCCACAAUGUCUGUCAGUGCCAAGUGCUGCUGAGAAACCAGCAAUCCAUGUCUGUCAUUAUUCAUUUUGAUGUUUAAAUUGCCCUAGAUUUGGCCAGUGGGAACGCUUUCAAACUGGCUCCUUGUUCUUUUGACACAUCCCCAUCAUUAUUUUAGCACUUUUUCCUUACUUUCUGGCACAAAAAGAUAU
rnacentral:lncRNA from 1 species